rnacentral:lncRNA from 1 species
CAUCCUCGUCAGUUUUGCAGUCUGCGAGUUCAACGAAAGAAAACGUUUAACAGCGCUGUUUAAUACGGUACCGCACCGCCGUUGCUAUGUGUACAUUCAGGGAAAUCUUAAUCUGUACAUCGUUUGCCGUCUGUUUCUCUCAGUUGCUAAUAGUAUGCAAAGCAGACCAAGAUGUAACGUAUAAUUUCACGGCAUUAAGUGACGCUGAUAUAGUUUCAUAUGGAAAAGACCUUCUCUUGAAGCCGAAGGAUGAAUUCAAGGAAUACGGCAAGGAACUGAUCAAGCGAUAUUACUCUGCCGCGCGAGUUUUUGAUGUUGUGAAUGCUACUAUCCACGAAGCGAAAAGAUUUGCAGUCGAGAAGAAUCAGAGUGUGGCUGAAAAACCCGCGGGCGGUAUGACAUUGUUCCCCACCGCUUUCCCAACUGCGGCUUCCAAACCGAACGCUCAAGUUACCCUCUUCCCGAUUACAAAUUCCAAGACAAAUAGUGGGCCGACUCAGUUUUCCUCCUCCCUCCCAACUUCGAAUUCCAAAGCAACCCCAACCGACUACAGCAAGCUCACCAAUGAACAGCUAUUGGCCAUGGGAAAAGAGCUGAACCAGAAAGUUCGCGAUGAUCUGUCAUCGGCCAAAGGAGUUUCAGCAGUCGUCGAUCGAGCCAAAGAGCAAAAGAUAACCCUCGACCAAACAUGUCAGCGAGUCCUUGCAGAAACCCUGAAAACGUUUUACGAUUCUAGCACUAAGACUCACGAGCAAACCAAGGGCGUGGUUGAUGAGGUGAAGAAACGCACAGGACUUAACACCCCUCCAAAAUCCGGCCUCCCUAAACUCAACAUCUAAGAAGUUACAUAUGCAUCACGCAUGAUCUUCAUUCACAGCACCCAACAUAAUCCCAUUGCAAUGUUCUUCAGCCUAUAUACGAGGACAAAUUUCUCAGAGCAUUUAAAGGAACGUUCUGAUGUUUCGUCAUCGAAUUUCUUUUUUUUUACAAUCGGGAUUCCCAUCCAUUCUACCGUCCUAAGAAAAAACGCCGUAUGAGCCUUCAGACGUUGCCAAGUUUCCUCCGAUAAAAAUAGAAUUAACUGUGUAAAAUUGUGAAUAUUAUUUUCCACAAUUUACAGACAAUUUUGUACGCAAUUUCAUCUAAAAUUCUGAAAAUUCCAAAAAAAAUAUGCAAGAAUGUUGUCAAAAAUACAUGUUUUAUCCAGGGAAAUUUGGCAACUCUCGAAUGUUCAUAAGGCGUUCUUCCUUAGCACGGCAGCAUUGUCCUAUUGGAAUUCUGGAAUGGCUUUCGUAAAAGGUGUCCUGUCAUCGGAACAGUGAGAAUUCUAGCUGUUUCAAAAACUAAUAUGAUGAAGAGAUGAUUAAUCGGAAAAUUCUCCUUCAUGCAGCAAUCUUGACAUUUCACAGAUUAAGACUUGUUAUAUUAGUGCCUUAACUUUUUGUAUUCGGUUUUUUUUUUAGAAUUUUAACGACUCAAGCGUUGUUGAAAAUAAAUGUUACUUGUUCCAAUUGAUGUGUCAUCAUUUUCUUUUCCUGUGAGUAAUUUUGAGACUCUUCAAACAUGAAUGACUAAGCCAAAAAUGGGUCCAUGCAAGUAUCUACUCGACACGUUACUAUGGCGUCAUUUCCGUAACCCUGAGAAAUAAAAAUAUAUUUACCGAGAGAAAAAAAAAAAUUUCUCAAGAAAAAAAAAUAUAUGUAGAAAUUAUUUUUCACCCGUAGAAAUAUUCCUGCUACUUCGAAUUUUUUUUCAUACGUUUCAGGGGUGAAAAAAACACUGUUUAUAGUG